UGGCGGCGUGCUUAACACAUGCAAGUCGAACGAUGAACCGCUUUCGGGCGGGGAUUAGUGGCGAACGGGUGAGUAACACGUGGGCAAUCUGCCCUGCACUCUGGGACAAGCCCUGGAAACGGGGUCUAAUACCGGAUAUGACUGUCCAUCGCAUGGUGGAUGGUGUAAAGCUCCGGCGGUGCAGGAUGAGCCCGCGGCCUAUCAGCUUGUUGGUGAGGUAGUGGCUCACCAAGGCGACGACGGGUAGCCGGCCUGAGAGGGCGACCGGCCACACUGGGACUGAGACACGGCCCAGACUCCUACGGGAGGCAGCAGUGGGGAAUAUUGCACAAUGGGCGAAAGCCUGAUGCAGCGACGCCGCGUGAGGGAUGACGGCCUUCGGGUUGUAAACCUCUUUCAGCAGGGAAGAAGCGAAAGUGACGGUACCUGCAGAAGAAGCGCCGGCUAACUACGUGCCAGCAGCCGCGGUAAUACGUAGGGCGCAAGCGUUGUCCGGAAUUAUUGGGCGUAAAGAGCUCGUAGGCGGCUUGUCACGUCGGUUGUGAAAGCCCGGGGCUUAACCCCGGGUCUGCAGUCGAUACGGGCAGGCUAGAGUUCGGUAGGGGAGAUCGGAAUUCCUGGUGUAGCGGUGAAAUGCGCAGAUAUCAGGAGGAACACCGGUGGCGAAGGCGGAUCUCUGGGCCGAUACUGACGCUGAGGAGCGAAAGCGUGGGGAGCGAACAGGAUUAGAUACCCUGGUAGUCCACGCCGUAAACGGUGGGCACUAGGUGUGGGCAACAUUCCACGUUGUCCGUGCCGCAGCUAACGCAUUAAGUGCCC
rnacentral:rRNA from 1 species